AGCGAACGCUGGCGGCAGGCUUAACACAUGCAAGUCGAGCGGGCCCUUCGGGGUCAGCGGCAGACGGGUGAGUAACACGUGGGAACGUACCCUUUGGUUCGGAAUAACGCUGGGAAACUAGCGCUAAUACCGGAUACGCCCUUUUGGGGAAAGGCUUGCUGCCGAAGGAUCGGCCCGCGUCUGAUUAGCUCGUUGGUGGGGUAAUGGCCUACCAAGGCGACGAUCAGUAGCUGGUCUGAGAGGAUGAUCAGCCACACUGGGACUGAGACACGGCCCAGACUCCUACGGGAGGCAGCAGUGGGGAAUAUUGGACAAUGGGCGCAAGCCUGAUCCAGCCAUGCCGCGUGAGUGAUGAAGGCCUUAGGGUUGUAAAGCUCUUUUGUCCGGGACGAUAAUGACGGUACCGGAAGAAUAAGCCCCGGCUAACUUCGUG
rnacentral:rRNA from 1 species